rnacentral:rRNA from 1 species
CGUAGGGGCGAGCGUUAUCCGGAUUCAUUGGGCGUAAAGCGCGCGUAGGCGGCCCGGCAGGCCGGGGGUCGAAGCGGGGGCUCAACCCCCGAAGCCCCGGACCUCCGCGGCUUGGGUCCGGUAGGGAGGGUGGAACACCCGGUGUAGCGGUGGAAUGCGCAGAUAUCGGGUGGAACACCGGUGGCGAAGGCGGCCCUCUGGGCCGAGACCGACGCUGAGGCGCGAAAGCUGGGGGAGCGAACAGGAUU